rnacentral:sRNA from 1 species
AUUCAUCUUGGAACCGGGCAAUUGGCAUUUCCGCUCUGGAUAGUACAUCUUUAACAUAAUGUUAGGGAAGUAUCCGUUCUUGGCUGCCGUUCUUUAAUUGCGUUUCCAGUACUCUCUAGGUGAUUCUACUCUCGAACAUAGGAUGAAAUUUGGAAUCACACUUCUCUUCCACUUCCACCCCCACCCUCUAAUGCCCAUAUUAAAAAUGGCGGCCGCCGCCUUCCGCGGUGAUAGUUGUUCAGCGAACAAGAUCCGGGCGGAAACAGUAGGUAGGCGGGUGCAGCGGGGCAGAACCUAGGUUGCCUUAGAGAGGUUCUCCGGUGUCCCGAGGGCGGCUUAAGUCAGAGUUGUUGGGUUUUGCUCAGAUUGGUGUGGGAAGAGCCUGCCUGUGGGGAGCGGCCACUCCGUACUGCUGAGGCCUCAGGACUGCUGCUCAGCUUGCCCGUUACCUGAAGAGGCGGCGGAGCCGGGCCCCUGACCGGUCACCAUGUGGGCCUUCUCGGAAUUGCCCAUGCCGCUGCUGAUCAAUUUCAUCGUCUCGCUGCUGGGAUUUGUGGCCACAGUCACCCUUAUCCCGGCCUUCCGGGGCCACUUCAUUGCUGCGCGCCUCUGUGGUCAGGACCUCAACAAAACCAGUCGACAGCAGAUGUGAGCAGCGGCACACGGGUCCGGGCAGGGGGCAAGGGCUAAGGAAGGAGUGGCUAGGGCAGGGGCGGGGACCGGGGUGCUUGACCACACGUGAAGACCCAGAACUAACCCAGGCAGCCUGGAACUCGGAGAGGUGAUGAGCAGAACUUACUCGCAUUGGGGAAAGGAUGGGUAGGGACCCUUGGGUAUAUCUGGGACUGUGGCAGUGGUGCUUUCCUCCCUCCGCCCCCCUCACCACUUACCAAAAUAAAAAACCGGGAAUAAGAAGACCACUUUGGGUUAUUGUAACACCUGCACUAGUGAGUGACCACGCCCCUUUCCUCUUCCCCCUCGCCCCCUUGCUGCUGGGCCGCAGCCCAGAAUCCCAGGGAGUGAUCAGCGGUGCUGUUUUCCUUAUCAUCCUCUUCUGCUUCAUCCCUUUCCCCUUCCUGAACUGCUUUGUGAAGGAGCAGUGUAAGGCAUUCCCCCACCAUGAAGAAUCCUGUACUAUGUCUACAUGGGGCUGCUGGCAGUGUUCUGUACCAAUGCCAUCAAUAUCCUAGCAGGAAUUAACGGCCUAGAGGCUGGCCAGUCACUAGUCAUUUCUGCUUCCAUCAUUGUCUUCAACCUGGUAGAGUUGGAAGGUGAUUGUCGGGAUGAUCAUGUCUUUUCCCUCUACUUCAUGAUACCCUUUUUUUUCACCACUUUGGGAUUGCUCUACCACAACUGGUACCCAUCACGGGUGUUUGUGGGAGAUACCUUCUGUUACUUUGCUGGCAUGACCUUUGCCGUGGUGGGCAUCUUGGGACACUUCAGCAAGACCAUGCUACUAUUCUUCAUGCCCCAGGUGUUCAACUUCCUCUACUCACUGCCUCAGCUCCUGCAUAUCAUCCCCUGCCCUCGCCACCGCAUACCCAGACUCAAUAUCAAGACAGGCAAACUGGAGAUGAGCUAUUCCAAGUUCAAGACCAAGAGCCUCUCUUUCUUGGGCACCUUUAUUUUAAAGGUGGCAGAGAGCCUCCGGCUGGUGACAGUACACCAGAGUGAGACUGAAGAUGGUGAAUUCACUGAAUGUAACAACAUGACCCUCAUCAACUUGCUACUUAAAAUCUUUGGGCCCAUACAUGAGAGGAACCUCACAUUGCUCCUGCUGCUGCUGCAGGUGAGGAUGGGGAUCGAGUUUAUACCUCCUUGUCUCCCUUUCUGCGUGAUUCUUACUCCAGUCCAUUUCUCCUUGCAGAUCCUGGGCAGUGCCAUCACCUUCUCCAUUCGGUAUCAGCUCGUUCGACUCUUCUAUGAUGUCUGAGUCCCUUGAUCAUUGUCCUUUACCUCACAGUCUCUAGGAUUCCUGACUCAGGCUGACCUCUCUCUGGUCCCAGACUGCCUCCUUGCCCAGGCCUCUCUCACUCUUCAUACUCUUCCAGAUUUUGUUCUCAGCAUUUUCCUUUCCCUGUGAUCAUUGGCAUCCUAGGCGUUUCUUGCCCUCUGCUGACUACUGAUUGGAUUUUACCUAUGGCUUUCUGCAACUUGCUACUCUCUCCCUCUCCAUCCCAUCUUUGCAGCCUCAUAGGGUGGGAUACAGCAGCUUUUUUGCAGUUAUCCACACUCACAUUUCAGAGUCCUGACUCUCAAGGAACUACGGGUUUUUGGGAUAGAGCUUGGGCCAGGGCUAGGGACACAGCCUUCAUGGUGACAUGUCAUUUGAUUGUAAAUUAAGUGUUCUGAUUAGUAAGAACUAAGCAGGGGGCCACAUGCUCUCAAUGGAGACAAUAAAGUGUUGUCUUUUUCUU